AUCCUGGAAGUUAUGCCUGUGGGGACCAGCUCUCUCAGCAUCUCUCUGCCUGAGGGCCACUCGCCUGUCACUGCCUCACAGUCUCUGAAUUGGGUGACAUUUCAGACCCAAUCCCUCUGUGGACGUUUCUAGGUGGCUGUGCAGCUUCUCGAUACUCCAUAAGGAGACGUUCACAACCUUUAAGGCCAUCUCUCCUGCUGCAGACAACCUGCUGUAGCACUGCUACUUGCUUUUUAAACUACAGUCCGCUUUCUCCUUUGUGCAGGGAGGAAAGAAUGGAGCGCAAUUCCAGAAAGUUCCCUAAGAAUCAUAUUGCAGUUAUUCAAAGGCAUUUUGGCAGAAGGAACAAUCCCUAUCUCGGAGGUAAAAGUAUAGUUUAUAAUUUUUCUCAAGUACAACACACUGGCAAAAAUUCUUUGGUUGAAUUAGGUUUCUGAAUUUUCUGCUAGGCCCAUCUGUGCACUUCCCUGUAAAAUCCAGUUUUAGCACAGACCCUGGCUAAGUCAGUUUACCAAGAACCACCACCACCACCCCGCCUUAUGUGGUUAUUCUCAAUAUCUGAUCAGGUUCCUUAUUCUCCACUAUCCCCCAGAUGAUGUCUGAUUACCUUGGCCUGUCUCCAGCAAGAAUCCUGUUAGGUAUAUUUAGCCAGAAACUCCUUUACCCCGAUGUUUCCUCUUAGUAAUUUUCCAUCCACUGACCCCUACACAGCUCCUUGGCCAUAAAUGCCCACUUGCCCAUGCUGCUGUUUGGAGUUGAGCCUAAUCUCUCUUCCACUGCAAAACCCCGUUGCAGUGAGCUCUAUAUACCUAUCAUGAAGUUCCUGAAUAAAGUCUUCCUUACCAUGCUUCA